CACGUGGGCAACCUACCUUAUAGUUUGGGAUAACUCCGGGAAACCGGGGCUAAUACCGAAUAAUCUAUUUCCCCUCAUGAGGAAAUACUGAAAGACGGUUUCGGCUGUCGCUAUAAGAUGGGCCCGCGGCGCAUUAGCUAGUUGGUGAGGUAACGGCUCACCAAGGCGACGAUGCGUAGCCGACCUGAGAGGGUGAUCGGCCACACUGGGACUGAGACACGGCCCAGACUCCUACGGGAGGCAGCAGUAGGGAAUCUUCCACAAUGGGCGAAAGCCUGAUGGAGCAACGCCGCGUGAGUG
rnacentral:rRNA from 1 species